CAAAAGAACAAGAGGCCCUGGAAGAUCGAGCUCCCCAGAAAACGCCUUCUUGAGGCAGGGAUGCACGCAGUGUUUGCUGGAAGACGGAUGGGAAGCUUUUCACCCAGAGACUCCUGUACUGUUGACACUCUGAAGGUGCUUCCGGUGGCUUAGUCUUCAAUUUCACCACUGCUGACAAUGGGAAGCCUUGUAUUUCAGCAAUUAUUUUGUCACUUAUCCAUUGGAGAAAGAGACUGGAAACUCCUCCCUGGAAAGAUUGCACCUGUAGAUCUGCCUAUGGCUGCCUGGAUGGUGAUACUUCCUUUAAAUGCUGCUCCAUAGACCCUUUGACAGUUUUCCAUCAUGCCUGUCACCAAAGUCCCACAUUCUUCACCAAUAACUACUAUAUAUAGACAAAUGACAGACUUCUCAGUGCCAAAGAUGGUACACAUCUCUGAGGGGACCUCAUGGACCUGUUAUGUAUAAGGAGAACUUAGGAUCCAGAUGAGAAAGGCAUACAUCCCUGCUGCUCACAUUUUCUGGCUAUUACUCUCUUGGCUGCACCUCUGGCCAGUGAGCAAGGAGAUUGAGUCCAGCUGUGCUCAGGAAGAAGAGUAGAAUGUGUUACACAGAAGUUUACUAUUUCUAUCAUAAUUGAGAUCAUACAAGUCAAUUACUAAAACUUACUUUGAGUCGUGCUUCCUUUUAUCUUCAUUCUGUUAUCCUUAUGAAGACCAGCUUCAUCUUUGGUUUGGAUUUUGGCAAAUUACCUUAGUGCCCUGAGUGCCUGCAGAAUUACCCACCUACCUCCAAGUUGAUGCAAAGUGUGUUUUCUUGAAGUGCGAAUGCUUCUUUCAGAAGAGUUUUACUCCAUUUCUACUCUCCCUUAAAAUCAUAACUACAAGCUGAAAGCAGGAGGAUCACUAUGAGUCCAAGCUGUGUAGUGAGACCCUG